UUUAUUAUCCAUUUAAAAAAAAUUAGAAAAUAAUCUGCUCAUCUCCGAUCUAUGGCUCUACCCUCACCGCAUCUCCACCCAACUACCUCUCUGACCUCUGCCCUUGCCAUGUUUUUGUCCUCUACCUCUUCGGCCUCCAGCUCCACCUGAUUGGCCACCCUCACUAUGCUGUUGCCUCCAGUUCCACCUGAUCGGAAGCCCUCACUGGACUC
rnacentral:lncRNA from 1 species